rnacentral:rRNA from 1 species
AAAGGUGGGGACCUUCGGGCCUAUCGCCUGAAGAUGAGUCCGCGUCCCAUUAGCUUGUUGGUGGGGUAAUGGCCUACCAAGGCGACGAUGGGUAGCCGGCCUGAGAGGGUGUACGGCCACAUUGGGACUGAGAUACGGCCCAGACUCCUACGGGAGGCAGCAGUUAAGAAUCUUGCGCAAUGGGCGAAAGCCUGACGCAGCGACGCCGCGUGGACGAUGAAGGCCUUCGGGUUGUAAAGUCCGGUAAGCAGGGAAGAAUAAGUGUAAAGUAAUAUCUUGCACGAUGACGGUACCUGCCUAAAGCCCCGGCUAACUACGUGCCAGCAGCCGCGGUAAUACGUAUGGGGCAAGCGUUGUUCGGAAUUAUUGGGCAUAAAGGGCGUCUAGGCGGGGGACUAAGUUAGGUGUGAAAGCCAUGGGCUCAACCCAUGAAUUGCACCUAAAACUGGUUUUCUUGAGUUCGGGAGAGGAGAGCGGAAUUCCCGGUGUAGCGGUGAAAUGCGUAGAUAUCGGGAAGAACACCAGUGGCGAAGGCGGCUCUCUGGCCUAGAACUGACGCUGAAGCGCGAAAGCGUGGGGAGCGAACGGGAUUAGAUACCCCGGUAGUCCACGCCGUAAACGUUGUGUACUAGGUGUUAGUGGCUUGACCACUAGUGCCGUCGCAAACGCAUUAAGUACACCGCCUGGGGAGUACGUCCGCAAGGAUGAAACUCAAAGAAAUUGACGGGGGCCCGCACAAGCGGUGGAGCAUGUGGUUUAAUUCGAUGAUACGCGAAGAACCUUACCUGGGCUUGAACUGUACUUGAUCGGUGUAGAGAUACACCCUCCUUCGGGCAGGUGCAGAGGUGCUGCAUGGUUGUCGUCAGCUCGUGUCGUGAGAUGUUGGGUUAAGUCCCGCAACGAGCGCAACCCUUACCCCUUGUUGCCAUCAGGUAAUGCUGAGCACUCUAGGGGAACUGUCGGUGAUAAACCGGAGGAAGGUGGGGAUGACGUCAAAUCAUCACGGCCCUUAUGUCCAGGGCUACACACGUGCUACAAUGGCCGGUACAAUGAGUUGCGAGACCGCGAGGUGGAGCUAAUCUCAAAAAACCGGUCUCAGUUCGGAUUGCAGUCUGCAACUCGACUGCAUGAAGCUGGAAUCGCUAGUAAUCGCGGAUCAGCACGCCCGCCGGUGAUACGUUCCCGGGCAUUGUACACACCGCCCGUCACACCACCCGAGUUGGCAGCACCCGAAGUGGCUGAUCUAACUUCGUGAGGAAGGUUAC